GGUUGCGUAGUGUAAUUGCACAAUAGAUUGCAAGUCUAAAAGAGGGCAUCGCCCCACAACCUC
rnacentral:tRNA from 1 species